CGAUAAGGGGGUGUUUCCCAAUUCUCGCGCUACGCGCCCGGCUCCCCCUGGAACGGUUUCUUAAGACAACAGUACAAGUGUUACAGCCAAAGGGAGGAGAAGAGUAAGAUAGGUGCUCUUUUACAGAGGCAUUCUACCAACAGAAAUCAUUUCACAUGUAACACGAUGGCACUUCAUGUCAACUCUUCUGAGUCAGAGAGAGGAGAUCAACAGGAGAGAAGAUCAUUGCCAUAAGGUUGGGUCCCAGUGGCUGAACAGCCUUCCUUUCUGAAGGCACCUUAGAACAAUGGAGUAGCUGCAGCAUAGGGGAAAACCAGUUCUACCCAGAAUGUCUAUAGGAGCAGGAGUUGGAGCAGUUGAAAAUGGCCAGCAGAAAAGAAGGAACAAAGAAACAAGGUGUUAGGACUGGCUUUUU